rnacentral:lncRNA from 1 species
AUUUGAAGCACUUAACAGAAUAACUGGAAGGUAGUAUAAAUGAAAAUCAAUGAGAGGUUAAAAAAACAACUUGAUAAAAUAUUGCCUGUGCCUACACAUACAAAUUCAGAUGAACAGAUGUCUCAGUAUUUCAUAUUUUUUUUCCUUCUUCAGCUCCAUGACCUCCCUCCCCACAAAAGCCCAUCCUUUCCAUCAACAUGCAAACAAACAAAAUUAUGCCUGAGUUCUUAUUAAACAGUCAGCAUGUUUCUCUAAAUGUAAACUCCUUUUUAUUUAAUUUUAGCAUUGGGGGAAGUGUUGUGAGAAAUGUUCAGAUAACACACUGAACAUAAAAGAAUAGGAAAAUUCACUUUUCUAUUCUUGAAAAGGAAUAGAAACUUGAAAGAAUUGAAAGUUGAAAUUGGUUGAACAGAAUGUAAUUUCAUCAUCAUCAUCAUCAUCAUCGUCAUCAUCAUCAGUUACAACCAUUUACUGAGAGUCUAUCAUAUAUGGCUGGGGGUCAGGGGAGUGGGAAUGGGCUCAGAGCACAAAGAGAUUUCAGGCCUGGUUUUUAGAGAUGUGUGGAACCUUGCCAGGGAAGUAGUUGAUGUAUCUGCAAUAUUUUCCUUUCUCUUUACUGUCCAAUAAACAGUACUUCAUUUCCCCGGAGGGCUCUGGCUUUACAAUCAACAGCAUUGGAACAAUUUCCACAGCAGCAGUUUUUGAUUUUGAAAGUGGAUCUAGAAGGGGCCAUGAAAUCACUUGUUCAAAUCCUGAUGAAAGUGUUAGAAAGGCUCAUUGCUUUCUUCCUUCCUUGCUGUCAUCAACCCUCCAGCAUUCAGCUAGACCACAGUUUUUCACUGAUUAUUAAAGUGGUUGAUUCUGGAGGACUGUUCACAACUGGAAAUCUAAAGAUUUUUCUUAUCAAUGUAAACAAUAAGGACCCCGUUCUUACCUGCAGGUAAGAUCAUAAAACAUAAUAUUUUAGUUCGAGCUUGAAAAUUGAAUUUGAAAAUGUUUUACAAAUUCA